AUAUUCGCCACGUCAGUACCUGCUACCUGACGUCAGAUAAUGUUCGUAGGCGUCAACUAACAUGACCAAAUGGCGCACUUGAAAGGGAAACAACGAUGUUCAAUUUUCAAAUGAGAAAUAGCGUUGAAAUAAUGCAUGCAUGAAACGUUAGAGAUUUCUCUCGACAUGUACGAUGUCUAGCAUCGCUCAAUGCUAUUUGUUCUCUGAAGCCGCAAGCAAGUGAAUCUGGCGUAGUUGGCUAUUGUGACGCGGAUCUGGCAGAAUCCGAGGGUUCGUGAUCUGCCCUUGGGUACGUCUUCGUUAUGGGAGGUGGCGUGAUUUCGUGGGCGAGUAAGCUUCAACCCACGGUUGCCACAUCUGCCGACCUCUCGAUGUGCGUGAGGUGUUGAGUUAGGAGCAGUGAUCUUUUCCCUUACGGAAGGAGCCAUUUGUCGAGUUAUUGUUGACUUUUGGGGCCGCCUUCAGGGUUUCGCAGCUGUGGGAAUUCCACGGAAAGGUUGGGAUUCUGUUGGCGCACAUCACCCCUUCUUGCGAAUUGUAUCAGGCAAAUUGUUAUGCUCACGGGAGCGGUCACCGAUGGACGAUUAGCUAUCACCAUUUUUUUAUUCUCUUGUUUGGAGGACUUUCCAGGCUCAGGCCUAUUUCGAUAAUAAUUGGGGGUCCUCAGCCUUCCCUUUCCUCGCGGUUUGACUGUCUAAUUGCGUUUAGUUGUCUCAUCUGGGUGAUUGUCUAAUUUGUAUGUGAGUCUCUAGUGCAGUGCACUGCCAGCUGGCCCAAUGGCUCUACUCUUCGUGAGUCUGGAGCCCACUGUAACAACCACACACACACAUCUACUGGAAACGCUGAGUAUAUGGCUGCGGCGGCUGCCAUCGAGGAAGCUCUGUGGCUGCGCCAUUUGCUGCGUGCUUUGGUCGUCAGGUCACCACACUUUCCUUUCUUAUUGUAUUGGUCGCGGGGGGCCCUUUUCUUAAGUCGUGCAAUUUAAGGUGCAUCCGAGUAAGGUAACAUCUUCAGUGGUUCACCGCAGGGCACCUAGGAGCAUGGACUUCCUUGUGCGCGAAGUUUCCAACUGCGUGGGAGCUGAGUGUGUGGGAGCUCCUCUUCUAUUUGCGUGGGAGUUUCCAUUCGUAAUGCUCCAUUUUUUUCAGUCACCACCGCUGUGCGUAAGCGUAACAGCUGAGUCUUGUGUGAUAUUUUGGUUGAAGCGUUCCUUAAAAGUUAAACGUAGUUCCGUACUAAGUCUGUCAGACUUCCCUUACUAAAACGGGCAUUGCCUAAAAGUAGGAGUCAGGCUGAGCGUUUGAUAUCCUGGUUGUGGUAGGUUUAUGUUCCCGCGCGCGCGGGCGAACGUUAGAGAUUUCUCUCGACGUGUACGAUGUCUAGCAUCGUUCAGUGCUAUUUGUUCUCUGAAGCAGCAUUGCUUCUUUAAGCAGCCCCUCGCACAAAUGUGUCCGGUCGUACUAUGCCG
rnacentral:lncRNA from 1 species